UACGGAGGGUGCAAGCGUUAUCCGGAUUCACUGGGGUUAAAGGGUGCGUAGGAGGGCAGGUAAGUCCGUGGUGAAAUCUCUGAGCUUAACUCAGAAACUGCCGUGGAUACUACCGGUCUUGAAUAUCGUGGAGGUGAGCGGAAUAUGUCAUGUAGCGGUGAAAUGCUUAGAUAUGACAUAGAACACCAAUUGCGAAGGCAGCUCACUACCCGAAUAUUGACUCUGAGGCACGAAAGCGUGGGGAUCAAACAGG
rnacentral:rRNA from 1 species